AAUCCCCACCUCUAACUCAUUUCAUUUCAGGGAACAAGACGUCAAGACAUUAUUACGCAUGCUUCUCCUCAAUGCAGGUUCAUAUAAUCAUUGUCCGAUGAAUCCGGUAUUCCAUUUGCCAUUGAUAAAAGACAAAUAAGACGACUGUCAACUUUGAAAUUCUGAACUCGCAAUUCCAUAUAUAUUUAAGUAUUAAAAUUAUAGUGCUACUAGUGGAUAUUAUCUUAUCAAGCAAUUGUGUUAGGUAUGGCCCUUAUCAUAUAAUAACAUGCUCAUUGUGCUUUAGUCUGUGCAUACUAUUGUGAAAUUUAAAAAGAAAAAAAAAUUAAAAUCACUGUGAAUCACAUCAGUUAAACAUGCACCGGAGGUGUUGUUUUUUUUGCCAGGCCACAUCAGCCAAAGUGCCAGGCCUAACAUUACACAAUUUCCCAAAUGACUUAACACUCCGCAAAAUUUGGCUAGAAGGUUGUGGAUAUGCUCAUGAAAAAUUUUUUCCGCAUAGUAAACUAUGCUCACUACAUUUUGAUGAAAGUUCUUACAAAAUCACUAAGUCAAGAAGAUUAUUAAAAGACAAUGCCAUUCCAACAAAAUUUGAAAAAAAUUCAAAUUUUGAUUUUGGUGUGAAACCUAAUAAAUUACUAGUAGUAAAUGAUGAAGAGAUUACUAAUCAUAUAGUAUCUGCUAAAAAACCAGUUGAAUGUGAAAAGUCUAGUUCAGAGAUGAAAAAUGAUGUAUCUACCCAGAUAGUUGAAUGUGAAAAGUCUGAUUCAGAGAUGAAAAUGAAUGUGUCUACCCAGACAGUUGAGUGUGAAAAAUCUGGUUCAGAGAUGAAAAUUCAGAAAUUGUCAAAUACUGAACUUAUUCAGAACAUUCUAGAACUACCAAAAUCCAAAAUGAGCCAUCGUCUUGAUGGUGACAUAGCAACUCCUGUUCUAAGUACACCUAAACGUACAAAAAAAAAAAACUAUGCUGUAAUAAAACUUAAAAUCUUGAAACAAAGAAGAAAAAUUAGAACAUUACAACAAAGAGUGAAUCGACUUAAAAAAAAAAAUUCAAGCUUAUCUUCUUUAUAUUAUCAUCUGAAAAAAACAAAAUUUGAUCAGUGAAGCAGUUCAUGAUACAAUUUUGUUUCAAAUCCUUAUUAUUCAUUCGAAAUCUCAGUUAAAUCAACCGAGUUUGAUAGUGUUCAACCUGACAUAAGCCUGUUGCGACUGUUGCAAGGUUUUUUAAAUGCUCAAGAUAAUGUUGGGAUGGUGAUGAUGUAUUCUAUUUAAGUAUUGGCCGCACAAGGAUAGAUGAAUAAAAAAGAAAAUUGGCCAAUGCUGAUCCUUCUUUUCUAUUUUAAGUUCUCACAUUGUAUUAUAUUGCUUAUUAAGUCCUCCUAAACUAUGUUAGUCUUAUGUUUAUGAUAUUUUCUAUUAAAUUAUGUAAUCACAAACUACCAUAUAAAUGUAAAAUGGAUACUUCCUGUAAAAUAAAUAAAUAUAUUUGGCAUCAGGGUGAGGCAAGUCAAAAAGUACAUGUGUAAUACAUAUUAAACAUUUAUUUAUAGGCUAAUAUUGUUCCAUACAUAAGUUUAUUAGUGCACUCAUUGUAUUAUUGUUAUCAUACUCUAUUUGAACAAAUUCUUAUUUGUAAAUAUUAAUAGUCACCUUUUGUUAUGUCUAAGUAUUUACUGUAAAUAAUUAAUUAUAAGCAUGUGUUGUAAAAAUUGGCCCAGCCCGUAUAAUAAAUAAAUAGAUAAA